rnacentral:lncRNA from 1 species
ACUCCAAUCUUGCCGAGUCUACACAUCAAGAGGACAACAGGGUAGGAAACACAACAUCGACUCCUCUGAAAAACAGGCAUCAAACAACCAAAGACUCCUCCAAGGCCAAUACAAACACAGAAGACCCAAUACAACAAGAGGAAGAGGAGGAAGAUGAUGACUGAUGACAUACUGAGUAAAACACCUAAACCAGUUGAUACAUUCAAUGGUGUUAAUGUCAAGGAUGAUGAGGUCAAUGAAGGUGCUGAUGAAGGGUUGAGCUAUGAUGAGGAUGAUGUGUUGAUGAGGAUGAUGAGUUGAUGAGGACGAUGUGUUGAUGAGGAUGAUGAGGACGAUGUGUUGAUGAGUUGAUGAGGAUGAUGUGUUGAUGAGGAUGAUGUGUUGAUGAGAAUGAUGAGGAUGAUGUGUUGAUGAGGAUGAUGUGUUGAUGAGGAUGAUGAGGAUGAUGUGUUGAUGAGGUUGAUGUGUUGAUGUGGAUGAUGUGUUGAUGAGGGUGAUGUGUUGAUGAGGAUGAUGUGUUGAUGAGGACGAUGUGUUGAUGAGGACGACGUGUUGAUGAGGACGAUGUGUUGAUGGGGAUGAUGUGUUGAUGAGGUUGAUGUGUUGAUGAGGACGAUGUGUUGAUGAGGAUGAUGUGUUGAUGAGGAUGAUGUGUUGAUGGAUGAUGCGGCUAAACAGUUUGACACAAUCAGUUCUGAGGUAGAGCCUCUACUGAUUGAAGAUAGGUUUCUCACAGCCUUUUACAGGACUCUAAAAGUCAGAGAGGUCCAAUUACUAGAUAGGUUUCUCACAGCCUUUUACAGGACUCUAAAAGACAGAGAGGUCCAGUUACUAGAUAGGUUUCUCACAGCCUUUUACAGAGCUCUAAAAGACAGAGAGGUCCAGUUACUAGAUAGGUUUCUCACAGCCUUUUACAGGACUCUAAAAGACAGAGAGGUCCAGCUACACAAACAUAUGGUUGCUUAACUAAGACGGCAGUACAGCCAAGACCUAUCCUUCUGGCAUAAAACCAUGCCACGAUUGAUAAGCAUCAAUUUGAUUAAAAAACCCAAACAAACGAUAAAAGCCUUAUGUAACAUGGAAACUUCUUAAAUAACGCCAGAACUGAUCUCCUUAAUUAACCAAAUUAAUGAGCUCAAUCUUCC